UACGUAGGGUGCAAGCGUUAAUCGGAAUUACUGGGCGUAAAGCGUGCGCAGGCGGUUUUGUAAGUCUGACGUGAAAUCCCUCGGCUUAACCGAGGAACUGCCGUCCAAACUGCUUCGCUUGAGACCGGGAGAGGUGAGUGGAAUUCCCAGUGUAGCGGUGAAAUGCGUAGAUAUCAGGAGGAACACCAAUGGCGAAGGCAGCUCGCUGGGACGGUACUGACGCUGAGGCGCGAAAGCGUGGGGAGCAAACAGG
rnacentral:rRNA from 1 species